UUGUGAACACGCCGCUGUUUGACCC
rnacentral:piRNA from 1 species